GUAGCUGUAAUAGACACACAUGCAGUCAGUUGCAAGGAAAAAUAACUUCCUAGCCUUUCCUCCAGUGCGUGGGCCCCCGGGGGUUUCCAACUGCCUGCGGAUUCCUGAGGCUGGGGUGUCCUACCAGCAGAAUUAAGAGGACAGUGACUACAGCGCCUCAAAGGACUUGGUGAUGUCUCUGUCUCUGUUCUGGCGAGCAGCUUCCUGGAAAGCACCCCAGGCGAGCCGGCAGGUCUCCACCUACGUCACCAAGAUGCGGUACCUGUUUGAACUUAAAGAAGAUGAUGAGGUAUGUCGGAAGGCCCGGAGUUCGGGAGUGUUUUACCUUUUCCAUGGCCUGGCUCCUCUGCUACAGAUGUCUGGGAAAAGUUACCUGGCCCCUCCAUUUAGGGCUUCAGAGUUGGAAAGGAUCUUGAGCAAGUUUGGACAGGACACGCUGGAGAUAGAACACUCAGUCCUGAUUGGCUGCUCAGACCAGCGUGAAGCAUGGUUCGCCCUGGAUCUCGGUCUGGGAAACCCCUCUUCCUCAGGUUCCUUGCAGAAAUCUGAAAUGGAAACUGAGCUCCAGGGUUCCUUUAUCGAGCUAAGAAAGGCUCUAUUCCAGAUGAAGGAGAAAGAUAUUCCCUUGAUCUUCACGGUUGAGGACCAGCCUUCCCACAGACCUUUUCAAAAGGAGAGUCUGAGCCACAUGGAGAUGGCUCCUUCUGUCCCCUGGAGAAGAAAGGCAGGCUGAGCUGGGCUGGACUUUCCAGCAGACAUAUCUGGUUUGGACAACAAAACUGUCUAAACAGACUUGCACCAGAAAAUCAGAAACCUAAUUUUCACCAGAGGACAGAAAGAACCACGAGGCUAGAAUCUGUGAACCUCCCUGAGUAUCUGGUGCAGCGCAGGAGGACCGACCCAGGCGCAGCACACGGAACAGGCUUACACACCUCUCCUGCCUUUGUCAAUUGCAAAUGGCACUCCUGACUGCAGAUUUUUUUUCUCUUUUCACUAGAUCUCGUUUUUUAUUAAUGCUGUUCAGUCUUUUUUUUUUUUUCAGUCGUGUCUGACUCCUCGUGACUCCAUUUUCUUGGCAAAGAUGCUGCAGUGGUUUGCCCACUCCAUUUUACAGAUCAGGAAACUGAGGCAAACAGAGUUAAGUGACUUGCCCAAGGUAACGGAGCUAGGAAGCAUCUGAGGCAAUAUUUAAAACUCAGGAAGCUGAGUCUUCCUGACUCCAGGCCCAGCGCUCUAUCUACUGCGCCACUCAGCAGCCCCUAAAUCCUAUUUAGGAAACUACUUUUAAGUGCAUUUCCCAGGUAACUAAAAGAGGUGACGCUGUAGUCAUUUUUCAAAGCCCUAGAUCUGAUUACAUCCCAGAGUGCCAGAAGCAAGGGUUCACAGAUGGUGUGCAUGGUAGGGCAGCAAGCAUUCAUCUAUCUCAGAAAAGUGCCCAAAUCAGCGGGACAGGCCUGCCCUACUGCACAGAACAGGGCUUGUGCGAAGACAAGGAGGAGCCCAAGGACUUUCUUUCUUUGCUUCUUUCUUUGCUUCUUCGUUUCUUCCUUCCUUUCUUCCUUUCUUCCUUCCUUCCUUCCUUCCUUCCUUCCUUUCUUCCUUUCUUCCUUCCUUCCUUCCUUCCUUCCUUCCUUCCUUCCUUCCUUCCUUCCUUCCUUCCUUCCUUCCUUCCUUCCUUCCUUUCUUCCUUCCUUCCUUCCUUCCUUCCUAUCAUCAAUAACAAGGUAUGUGCAUAUAUACAUGUAUGCAUGUAUAUACACAUGCAUAUAUCUAUGCACAUACACAUACAUGUGUGUUUGGGAGGGAAUCCAUCUGCCACAUUACCCAGCCAAGUCCCUCCAGCAGCUCAAAGAAAAAUGUCAACUCUCUGCGAAUACCCCCACCUCGAAUGAUUCCUGCCCACUUAUCUAUAUAUACAUCUGAAUAUAGAUGUGCAUCACACUGUGCACAUAUAUGUGUGUGUAUGUCCAUAAAUAUGUGUGUGCAUAUAUACUCCUAUAAAGAGAGAGCCAGAAAUUCGCUGGGCAUUUCACACACAUGCACACAUGUAUAAGCAUAAGUGUAUAUACAUCAUAUGUGUACAUAUGCACACCUGUGUAUGUGAAUACGCCUGUAUAUACACACACACACAUACACACAGGUGUGUACACAUAUACAUUUAUGUAUACAUAUCUACAUAUCGAUGAGACAUAGAUAUAGGUAUAGAUAAGAUAUAGGUAUAGAAACAUGUACAUCUACACAUGACCUUUCAGAUAAACAAGCCUUCUGGAUCUCGUAUGUGCUAAGAAAACACCCUAAAACCAAAGAGUACAUUAUUUUUGGAAUGACCACUCCCCAAGGGUUUGGUUCUGGACUCAUGAAGUGGAUGGAUGUUAUUGAGACAGCCAGACGUAGGGGAGGGAGUACUGGAUCAGAAGCCUGGAAGAUUUGAAUCUUACCCCUGACACUGACCAGCUGAGUGAUCUUAGACAAGUCAUUUCAGCUCUAUAAACCACAGGCAGCUCUCUACGUGGUGGCUGCUAAGUAAUAAAUGAGUUGGGGGGGCGGUGUAUGUGAAAGUAGCUCCCACACUAAGGAAGUCAAGGAUCCUCAAUAUAUUAUUCAUCAGAGGGCCUGAGCAUUGCCUUCUACAUUCCCAUGGAAAGUCUGAACACAGAAUAAUAGAGCUCAGGACUGAAAUUAGCAGCUAAAGACUUUUGAAUCAGAACCAGCCUCACCUGGUGACUUCAGAAUAUUUUUUUUUGGAGGGGGGUAGGCAGGGCAAUUGGGACUUGCCCAAGGUCACACAGCUAGUAAGUGUGUCAAGUGUCUGAGGCUGGAUUUGAACAGAAUAUUUUUAGAUGGAAAAAAAUUGACUUUUUAUUCAGGCUGAACUGUCAGAGGAACAUUAUCAGGUCUCUUCUUUCAUGUUUCAGUGGAAAAAAUGCUGAAUUUGAAGUCAGAGGACCUGGAUUCAUAUCCUGACUCUGAUACUUAUCACUUGAGUGGCCGUAGGUGAAUCUCUUACUCUCUCUGAUGCCUAGUUUCCUUACUGAUUAAAAAAAAAAAAGCAACCACAACUCCCCCCUCCCCCCCAAAAAUAAGGUGGUUGGACAAGAUGGCCUUCCAACUCUACCUCUGUGAUCCUCUCAUUUUCUGGAGGUAAAAGUGGGCAAGAAUCAUUUGGCAGGGACUUACAUACUUCUUGGAGUUGCUGGAGAGACAGGGCUAAGUAAUGGAGAUGGAUCCCCUCCCAAGAGAUCAUAUCUGCUUUUGUGUUUGCUCAGGCUCAGGCCCUCCUCCAUUGGCAUGACUGCCAUCAGUUCUGUGGCAAAAGUGGGCAACCAACCCAGAAGAAUGUGGCUGGCAGCAAACGCAUAUGCCCCUCUAGUAAGAUGAUCUAUUACCCUCAGAUGUCCCCAGUGGUGAUCACCCUGGUAUCUGAUGGGACCCGAUGCCUGCUGGCCCGGCAGAGCUCCUUUCCUAAGGGCAUGUACAGUGCCCUGGCGGGAUUCUGUGAUGUGGGGCUGUCCCAAACUAACCUGAGUGCUUCUAGGUGAGACGCUGGAGGAGGCCGUCCGGCGGGAGGUAGCUGAAGAGGUGGGGCUGGAGGUGGAGAGCCUGAGCUAUUCAGCAUCCCAGCACUGGCCCUUCCCUAACAGCUCCCUCAUGAUCGGGUGUCAUGCUACUGUGGGACCAGGGCAGACGGAGAUCCACGUGAACUCACAAGAGCUGGAGGCAGCAGGCUGGUUCAGCCUGGAAGAGGUGGCCACGGCUCUCAGGAGGAAAGGACCACCUGCCCGUGAGCAAGAUGGUGCCACCCCCUUCUGGGUGCCUCCCAAGAUGGCCGUUGCUCAUCAGUUGAUUCGGGAGUGGGUUCAAAAGCAGAGCUCCUCUUCAAAUCUUGCUUAACCCAAAUCAAACUGCCUACGUGUCUCGUCUACAUCCUUGGAGAACUCAUGGAGGAGAAGAGAUUGAUGGAGAUGAUGUGACAGUGGCAAAAAGUGAACUCCAAACUAGCCUCAUCACAUACAGGGCAGCGCAGUGUAGUGGAAAGAGAGCUGGGCUUGGGGUCAGGACAGACCUGCGUAGGAAUCCCACCUCUGACUCUUACUAACCAUCACCAAGUCAUGGGGCCCGAUUUUCCCAUCUGUAGAAUGGGGAUAACAAUACCAGUAGAACCUACUUCAUAGGGUUGUGAGCAUCGGAUAAAGUAACAUAUAUUAAAUAUUUUGAAAACUUUAUGACUGACAUUUACAUAGAACACUUUUAUUAUUAUUAGGCCAGUGAUAUGACAGGAGAUGAGCCUCUCGUGAGACACCUCAAUUAGGAGGAGAAUGAGAGGCCACACAAUUUAGUGAACAAGAUGUUAGAUUUGGAGUCUGGUUCUGAGCGCCCAAAUUUACCAGUUUUGUGACUGUGGGCAAAUUCCGUAGCUCCUCAGAGAAUCUGUCCCCUUGUCUGCAAAGUGGGCAUAUUGAUACCUGUAUUUCCUACCUCAUAGAGCUCUUGUGAGGAAGGAAUUUUGCAAAUCCUUAAAAGUGUUACCAAAACUUGAGCAUUUGUGCCUGCACCUAGAAUGAACAGUGCUUCCUAAAUGGUGAAUGAAUGAUUAAAUAACAGGAGAGAAGCAUUUCCCAGUGCCUACCAAAGAUGAUCCAAGGGUGAAGAGGGAACUGUUUAGAUAUCACCUUAGGACAUGUUAGACUGUGUAUGCCCUUUGACCUAGUGAUAUCACUGCUGGGUUUGUACCCCAGAGAUCAAAGAAAGAGGAAAAGGACCCAUACAUACAGAAAUAUUUACAGCAUUUUUUUUGUGAUGUCAAAGAUUGGAAACUGAGGGGGUGUCCAUCUAUUGGAGAAUGGUUGAACAAAUUAUGGUAUAAGGAGGUGAUGGAAUACUAUUGUGCUGAAAGAAAUGAUAGAAGGGGAUGCUUUCAGAGAAACCCAGGAAGAUUUGCAUGAACUGAUGCUGAGUGAAGAGAGCAGAACCAGAAUGAUUAAUCAUACAAGGACAACAAUAUUGUAAAGACAAAUAACUUUGAAAGAUUUAGGAGAGGGCUGAUGAAACACACUUCCCACCUCCUGAUGGAGAGGUGAAGGAAUUAGAGGGAAGAAUAAGAGACAUUGUUUUCUGGAUGGCCAAUUUAAGAAUCUGUUUUGCUUGACUUGUUUGUUAAAAGGUUUUAUUUUUCUUGCUUUCACAAAUUGGGGUGGGGGAAUAAAGCAGAUCUCUGUGAAAAUAAAAUAACAAUGAAUUUUUAAAAAUAAAUAUCACAU